UACGUAGGGUGCAAGCGUUGUCCGGAAUUAUUGGGCGUAAAGAGCUCGUAGGCGGUUUGUCGCGUCUGCUGUGAAAACCCGAGGCUCAACCUCGGGCCUGCAGUGGGUACGGGCAAACUAGAGUGCGGUAGGGGAGAUUGGAAUUCCUGGUGUAGCGGUGGAAUGCGCAGAUAUCAGGAGGAACACCGAUGGCGAAGGCAGAUCUCUGGGCCGUAACUGACGCUGAGGAGCGAAAGCGUGGGGAGCAAACAGG
rnacentral:rRNA from 1 species